GAAUAAAACUUAAAAAAUAAUUUACUCUAACUUUUAAGAAACCCUAUGUCUCCCGAUUUCUCUCAAGGCUUAUCUCCCUCACUCCUCAAAGAAGUAUAAACCCUAAAUCUCCUAAAACUCCAUAAAGGAAGAUUUGGGGAGAAUAUCAAACUGAAAAUCUACUACUCAUCUAUCACAACCUCGUUUAUAUUGUUGUUUUAUUUUUGAAGUGGAUAUAUAUUACACUUAGUGAAUUUGGACACUUUUUCGGGUUUUGGAGGCUAAAGUUUACAAAUCAAGAAGCGGGCUUUGAAGACAUACAAGUUGACUUUUACUUGGCUAGAAAUGUUGGAUAAAAUAUUAUAUUAAGUUUAGGGGUGUUAACUAGAUCUUUUGCUAAAGGGUUCCAAAAUAUAUUCUACCAUGGUUGUACAGUGCCACUAACAUAUACUAUUCACUUUUUAUCCUUAAUUAUUAUAUAUGAAACUAUAUCUAUCAUUAUAUUA